rnacentral:lncRNA from 1 species
GCAACUACAAAAUUAAACACAAUAAGGUGAUGGAUUGUUUCCAAAAAAAGUAGAUCCUUAUCCUUCAACUACAAAUUUGCAGCUACUAAAUUAGGAAAACAAUAGACUAUUUCUUCUUUUAUAUGUAAUCCAGUCUUCUCAUUCAAAGCGGGAGCACCCUUCCUACUUGCCAGCCUGUCUGUAACCUCACUUAUGUGGUGCAAAAUAAUAUCCAUUCUGGACAAAACAAAAAUUAUUUCACAUUAGCAUAAAAAUAACCUUCAAGUUCUACAUAAAACCUACAUAAUUCUUCCAAAAAAAAGGAACAAUAAGAACUAUCUACUGCAAAAUAACAACAUUUGUAAAUGUAUAGAAAAUAGCAACUACAAUUAAUCUAUAAAAUUAAGACAACUAAUCAGCAUGACUACAAAAUAACUACAACUAUAAAGCUGUAGAUAAUAACAACUACAAUUUAUACACAUAAUUAACACAACUAUUCUAAAUGACUACAAAAUAACUACAAAUAUAAAUUGUAUAUAAUAUCAACUACAAUUAAUCUACAAAGUUAAGACUACUAAGCUAGAGUUUUAACAAAUUAAAAAAUAGAUUUUCACAACUAAUAACUACAUUUAUAUGCUGUAGAUAAUAGCAACUACAAAUUUUAUACAUAAUUAACACAUCUAAUCUAUAUGACUACAAAUUAACUAUAAAUAUAAACUAUAUAUAAUAUAAACAAUAAUUAAUUUACAAAAUUAAGACUACUAAACUAUUAAGGCUCUUUCUCUCUCUCCCUUCUCUCUCUCUCUCCUCCCCCCUUCCUCAAGCAAACACCAUCAGCACCACCACCACCCUCUGGCGAGUCGCUGGAACCACCAGGUAACCACCAGCUUUCCCAUUUUUACUCUAUUCGCCGAGGGUCGAUUGGAAGCAGCCUCUCUGCCCUUUCGGGCAGGGGUAAGGCUCGUCUACAUAUUACCCUCCCCAGACCCNNNNNNNNNNNNNAUUCGCCGAGGGUCGAUUGGAAGCAGCCUCUCUGCCCUUUCGGGCAGGGGUAAGGCUCGUCUACAUAUUACCCUCCCAGACCCCACCUGGUGGGAGUGUACUGGGUAGUUGUUGUUGUUGUUAAGACUACUAAACUGCCAUUUUAUCAACUACAACAACUACUAUUGUAUGUGAAUGUAGCUAAGUACAAGUAUAACAAAAACUUCCUAAGUUAGUUCCGAGUAGGGAACUAAGUUAUCAGUCUCAAGCACUUCAACAUAACUUUUGUUGCUUAUGUUCUUUUCAGUAACACCAAAGUAUCAGAACAAUGUAUGAGGUACAAUGCUAGAAUAAAUAACUGAAUAAAAUUAUACAGCUUGCAAACCUGUUAGCGUGAGACUCUUCUGGCUUCCUCUCCAACCACUAAACACUUCCCGUGUUAGUUGGAAUUAAUGACCCACAUACAUGCAACAUCUCUUCAUCGACACUACAAUUAAAAACCACGAUAUCACGUUGAAGUUAUCCAGGAAAAUAAAAUUAUAAGGUAGAGCUGAAAUUUUCAGCGAAUUUUGGUGAAGAUGAAGCUUGAAUGUAAAGAAUGUGGGAAUAUCUUGUUUUGUGAAGAUGAAGAAUGAACAAACGUGCUUAGUUACAGUAAAGUGUAAACGUGGGGGCGGGGUG